rnacentral:rRNA from 1 species
AGUCUAGGGCCUGCCCACUGAUAGAUAAAUUUAAGGGCCGCGGUAUUUUAACCGUGCAAAGGUAGCAUAAUCAUUAGGUUUUUAAUUAAAAUCUUGUAUGAAUGGUUGGACAAAAGUGUAUCUGUCUUUGUAUUAAAUUUUAAAUUUAACUUUUAAGUGAAAAGGCUUAAAUAUAUUAGAGGGACGAUAAGACCCUAUAAAACUUUACGUUAUAAUUUUAUUUAGUUGAAUUUUAUAAGUAAAGAUUUAAUUUUAUUAUGUGUUAUGUUGGGGAGACAAAGGUAAAAUUUUUUUUAACUGCUUUGUAUUUAAACAAAUAUUUAUGAAUAUCAAAUGAUCCUUUGUAUUGAUUAAGAGAUUAAGUUACUUUAGGGAUAACAGCAUUAUUUUCUUUGAGAGUUCUUAUCGAAAAGAAAGUUUGUGACCUCGAUGUUGAAUUAAGAUAUCUUUGUAGUGCAGAAGUUAUAAGAGAAGGUCUG